rnacentral:rRNA from 1 species
AAUAUUGCGCAAUGGGGGAAGCCCUGACGCAGCAACGCCGCGUGGAGGAUGAAGGUUUUCGGAUUGUAAACUCCUUAACUGGGGGAAGAGGAAGGACGGUACCCCAGGACGAAGACACGGCUAACUAGGUGCCAGCAGCCGCGGUAAUACCUAGGUGUCAAGCAUUAUCCGGAAUUACUGGGCGUAAAGGGUGCGCAGGCGGCGAUACAAGUCUGGCGUGAAAGCUCCUGGCUUAACUGGGAGAGGACGUCGGAAACUGUAUGGCUAGAGUGAAUGAGAGGGGGGCGGAAAUCCCGGUGUAGUGGUGGAAUGCGUAGAUAUCGGGAAGAACACCAGAGGCGAAGGCGGCCUCCUGGCAUUUUACUGACGCUGAGGCACGAAAGCGUGGGUAGCGAACGGGAUUAGAUACCCCGGUAGUCCACGCUGUA